rnacentral:rRNA from 1 species
UACGUAGGGGGCAAGCGUUGUCCGGAAUCAUUGGGCGUAAAGAGCGCGCAGGCGGUCGAUCAAGUCGAGUGUGAAAGCCCCCGGCUCAACUGGGGAGGGUCAUUCGAUACUGAUCGACUCGAAGGCAGGAGAGGGUAGUGGAAUUCUCGGUGUAGUGGUGAAAUGCGUAGAUAUCGGGAGGAACACCAGUGGCGAAGGCGACUACCUGGCCUGUUCUUGACGCUGAGGCGGCGAAAGCU